ACAGGAGGUGGAUGAGAUUUAUGCACAUUUACAUGAGGCCAUACCCCAGUUGAUGAUGGUGCAAUACUGGAAAUCAACCGUGAUGAAAGAGUUGGAGGCCUGACAAGCUGGGCAUCAGUAUCUGGAAGUUUGUCACUGAGGGAAGCCAAACUCUUACUGCCUGAAGAGGGUAUACCACUUCUAGAAAAGGGUAUCUGAAAUUCCCUACUUUCUUUAGCAUUUACGAGAUCUGUUGUCUGAGGGAAGUGAUGUGGCAACUUCCACGCUUCUCGAGGAAAUCGAGAACCCAUAAUCUGAUUUCUCUC
rnacentral:misc_RNA from 1 species